AGGCCGCUGCGGAAACGACAGUCAGUGAUCAGAUUCAGGGUCGUUAGAUAGGUAAAUGCAGAGGAGGGAAAUGAGAGAGAGGAAUACGGACACCAUGAGAAUACACAUUUCCUUCUCUUUUCUCUUGAUCCACUGCAGUCAGCGAUUCCAAUCUCCAUCCCAAUUGCUCUGUUGCUGUCGUUUUUCCAGGAACGUUGUUACUAUCUUGGUCUCUGCUCUUUCUUCAUUGAGUUCGUAUCUAGGAGACUUGCAUAGGAACUUUGUUGGUGUCAAACGUAUUUUCGUUGGGGCUGUUUACAAGAGAGAGGUUAGUGAUCCUUUCGCAUUGAGGGAUUGGAAGGAUAAGGAGGGUUAUUGAGUUGUUGAAUGUUGAUAAAUGUUGUACAGAGAAAUUGUAGCUUUGCAAGGUUUAACUGAUUAUUCUUUUCCCUUUUGUUUUGGGUUUGUGAGAUGCCCAUACAUGUUUUAUCUUCUCUUUCAUUGUAAGAUGUCCAUACAGAGUUUAGAUAUGAAAACUAGUUUUAUCAUUUUCGUUUGUCUUUAGAUAUGCUUUGUUUUAUUGACAUGGCAUAGUGUUAUGUUUGUUUUAGGGAUAUGUCCUUAAGGUAAACUUUUAAGUUUCUCCAUAAAACUUGACGAUACCCCCUGCAAAAAGACGAUGGUAAUGUUAAAUGAGCGUGAUUGUUCCUUACUACUCAAGAGCUUAUCCAUUUGUAUGUGCAGAAGGAAGGGAUGAACAUAACUGCUAUUUCACUUCAUCCUGGUGAAAUUGCAACCAAUCCUGCAAUUUCAAGUGGGAGCUCGAUUUUCACAAGUCAAGUUGGAAGGUAGAGUUUAUGAACGGUAUCGCUAGGACCGUAAGCUAUGAAAUUAUGGUUAUUUGAGGUAGACUUUUCAAUGCUGAUUCAUUAUCUUUUUAGGUGUGUAUUGCUGUCAGAUUUGGUCUUAAUCUCAUAGUAUCGGUCAUUAUAAUGGACUUAUCAUUGAUUUCUUAUUCUUGGUGUUCUGCUCUACUUACUGCUUUUCAGGCUGCUAAGCCCCGAGUAUGAUUGCUUCAGGUUGAUGGCCAGUUGCAUAGGGCUAAUGCAAUUAACUGCUUUUGUUUUUGUUUUGGGUUUCAAAGUACUAUAGAGAAAAACCUCUAAAGUUGGGAGUCGAGAUUUGCCUAUAGUGAUGAACUCCAGCUUCUUCACUGCUACAACACUGGAAUCAGGAAGUGUACCUUUGUAGACAGAACCAAGGCCAUGAUUAUGGCCCUGAUGCAGCUUUUCCUUACUUGCUGUCUAUGAUACAAACUGAUAUUAAGUUGAUGAAACCAUGUUCAUGCGUUAUGGUAUUGGUACCAUGUGUGGAAAACACUUCAAACUACUCAUCAACUAAUCAAGAUAUAGUAGUUUAAUUAUAUAUUUAUGUCACUCGUAAAUCACCUAAUUAUGCACCGGUUGUGUAUUAAAUGGAUUUAUAUUGUCGUUUCAAA
rnacentral:lncRNA from 1 species